rnacentral:rRNA from 1 species
GACGAACGCUGGCGGCGUGCCUAAUACAUGCAAGUCGAACGCAGUGGGGACGGGUGAGUAACACGUGGGUAACCUCCCAUCAGAGGGGAUAACACUUGGAAACAGGUGCUAAACCGAUACUGAUGGAUGGACCCGCGGUGCAUUAGCUAGUUGGUGGGGUAACGGCUCAUCAAGGCCACGAUGCAUAGCCGGCCUGAGAGGUUGAUCUGCCCCACGGGAACGUGGACACGGCCCGGACUCCUACGGGAGGCAGCAGUGGGGAAUCUUCGGCAAUGGACGAAAGUCUGACCGAGCAACGCCGCGUGCGUGAAGAAGGUUUUCGGUUCGUAAAACUCUGUUGUUAGAGAAGCGGUAUCUAACCAGAAAGCCACGGCUAACUACGUGCCAGCAGCCGCGGUAAUAC